rnacentral:tRNA from 1 species
UUAAUAGAAGCCAAACUAGCGGCCCCUUACUGUUAAUGAGGAAAUUGAUAACAAUCCUAUUAAG